AUCCAGUUGAAGAUUCCCAAAUAGGACGAAACGCGUGUCAAACUGGAU
rnacentral:hammerhead_ribozyme from 1 species